AACUGAAGAGUUUGAUCAUGGCUCAGAUUGAACGCUGGCGGCAGGCUUAACACAUGCAAGUCGAGCGGAGAGAGGUAGCUUGCUACUGAUCUUAGCGGCGGACGGGUGAGUAAUGCUUAGGAAUCUGCCUAUUAGUGGGGGACAACAUUUCGAAAGGAAUGCUAAUACCGCAUACGUCCUACGGGAGAAAGCAGGGGAUCUUCGGACCUUGCGCUAAUAGAUGAGCCUAAGUCGGAUUAGCUAGUUGGUGGGGUAAAGGCCUACCAAGGCGACGAUCUGUAGCGGGUCUGAGAGGAUGAUCCGCCACACUGGGACUGAGACACGGCCCAGACUCCUACGGGAGGCAGCAGUGGGGAAUAUUGGACAAUGGGCGCAAGCCUGAUCCAGCCAUGCCGCGUGUGUGAAG
rnacentral:rRNA from 1 species